rnacentral:rRNA from 1 species
GAUGAACGCUGGCGGCGUGCCUAAUACAUGCAAGUCGAGCGAACGGACGAGAAGCGUGCUUCUCUGAUGUUAGCGGCGGACGGGUGAGUAACACGUGGAUAACCGACCUAUAAGACUGGGAUAACUUCGGGAAACCGGAGCUAAUACCGGAUAAUAUUUUGAACCGCAUGGUUCAAAAGUGAAAGACGGUCUUGCUGUCACUUAUAGAUGGAUCCACGCUGCAUUAGCUAGUUGGUAAGGUAACGGCUUACCAAGGCAACGAUGCAUAGCCGACCUGAGAGGGUGAUCGGCCACACUGGAACUGAGACACGGUCCAGACUCCUACGGGAGGCAGCAGUAGGGAAUCUUCCGCAAUGGGCGAAAGCCUGACGGAGCAACGCCGCGUGAGUGAUGAAGGUCUUCGGAUCGUAAAACUCUGUUAUUAGGGAAGAACAUAUGUGUAAGUAACUGUGCACAUCUUGACGGUACCUAAUCAGAAAGCCACGGCUAACUACGUG